CCUUUGUUGUUAAACUACCUUGUUGCUUUGGCGGGACCGCUCGGUUCCGAGCCGCUGGGGAUUCGUCCCAGGCGAGUGCCCGCCAGAGUUAAACCAAACUCUUGUUAUUAAACCGGUCGUCUGAGUUAAAAUUUUGAAUAAAUCAAAACUUUCAACAACGGAUCUCUUGGUUCUCGCAUCGAUGAAGAACGCAGCGAAAUGCGAUAAGUAAUGUGAAUUGCAGAAUUCAGUGAAUCAUCGAAUCUUUGAACGCACAUUGCGCCCCUUGGUAUUCCGAGGGGCAUGCCUGUUCGAGCGUCAUUACACCACUCAAGCUAUGCUUGGUAUUGGGCGUCGUCCUUAGUUGGGCGCGCCUUAAAGACCUCGGCGAGGCCUCACCGGCUUUAGGCGUAGUAGAAUUUAUUCGAACGUCUGUCAAUGGAGAGGACUUCUGCCGACUGAAACCUUUAUUUUUUACAGGUUGACCUCGGAUCAGGUAGGGAUACCCGCUGAACUUAAGCAUAUCAAUAAGCGGAGGA
rnacentral:rRNA from 1 species